rnacentral:lncRNA from 1 species
UUCUCUCCCGCAACUCCUUCCUUCCUUCCCCUUAUUUUCUAUAAACUAAUAUGGCUUAUUAUAGAAAAUAGUCCCUGAGAUUUGCAUGAUCAAUAGAAAUGGUCAUUGAGAUUGAAAAUCAAUAGAAAUGGUCCCUGAGAUUGUCCACCAUCCAUGAUUUUGGUCAUUUCGUUAAAAACUCUUCGGGCAAUUUUCAAAGCUUUGUAACUCCAUCAUUUCUUAACCAAAUUCAACCCAUAAUUUAUCAAAAUGAAGAUAUGAAAGUGUAGAAUAAGAUUAUACCUAUUUGGAAGCCCAAUGGUUGCCGAAGAUGGCUAGAAAAUAGCCUGAAAAGUGACUGUCCGCGGGAAAACUGGAAAACUCGUCGAAAACUGGGUAAACUUUAAACGUUCAUAACUUCU